GCGCACCAGUCGCGAAUCUUUAGCAAUGCCCGAAAGGGUGACUAUGCGACGCCGCGUGAGCGAUGAAGUCCUUCGGGACGUAAAGCUCUGUCAGGUGGGAUGAAUUUUUCGACCUUAACAGGGUUGGAAUUUGACCGUACCACCAGAGGAAGCCACGGCUAACUCCGGUGCCAGCAGCCGCGGUAAUACCGGAGGUGGCAAGCGUUGUUCGGAUUUAUUGGGUGUAAAGGGCAUGUAGGUGUCCUAGUAAGUCCUGGCUGAAAUCCUUCGGCUCAACCGAAGAACGUGUCAGGAAACUGCUGGGAUUGAGUACGGAAGAGGAGAAC
rnacentral:rRNA from 1 species